rnacentral:rRNA from 1 species
UACAACAUAGCGUUAAUGCACUGGAUCCCAUUGGAACUCUGCAGUUAAGUGCACUCAUGAUAGAGUAGUACUGAGAUGGGUGACCGCCCAAGAAUUCCUAGUGUUUUAC